AUGCUUACCUGGCAGGGGAGAGAUCAUGAUCACAGAGGUGGUUUUCCCAGGCGUGGCUUAUCCACUGAACUCCAGAUGCGCUGACUCCUGCAAUCUCCCCAAAUGUGGGAAACUCGGCUGCAUUGUUUGUGGUACUGGGGGACUGCAUUCAUGCUCUCCCCUA